rnacentral:rRNA from 1 species
GUUGUGAGGUUAAGCGACUAAGCGUACACGGUGGAUGCCCUGGCAGUCAGAGGCGAUGAAGGACGUGCUAAUCUGCGAUAAGCGCCGGUAAGGUGAUAUGAACCGUUAUAACCGGCGAUUUCCGAAUGGGGAAACCCAGUGUGAUUCGUCACACUAUCAUUAACUGAAUCCAUAGGUUAAUGAGGCGAACCGGGGGAACUGAAACAUCUAAGUACCCCGAGGAAAAGAAAUCAACCGAGAUUCCCCCAGUAGCGGCGAGCGAACGGGGAGGAGCCCAGAGCCUGAAUCAGCAUGUGUGUUAGUGGAAGCGUCUGGAAAGGCGCGCGAUACAGGGUGACAGCCCCGUACACAAAAGCGCAUGUGCUGUGAGCUCGAUGAGUAGGGCGGGACACGUGGUAUCCUGUCUGAAUAUGGGGGGACCAUCCUCCAAGGCUAAAUACUCCUGACUGACCGAUAGUGAACCAGUACCGUGAGGGAAAGGCGAAAAGAACCCCGGCGAGGGGAGUGAAAAAGAACCUGAAACCGUGU